UGUGCUUCAGCUGAAUGCAGAUAAAUGUUCACCGAGGGCGCUUCCAUGCCUGUUGGACAUCCCCACUUAGGAUCCUUUAAGUCUGUGCUCAUAAGGGGAGUCUAAAACUCUUCAGGUUAAACUCAUGUUCCAAAGGGUGAUAACAAAAGUAAAUCAGGGAACACCUGAGCUACUGGGAGAGUUCCAGCCAUGUGUCCCUGCCAUGGAAUGACAAAGUCAUUUUGGUGCCAGGGGGGCUGUCCCAGACACACAGAGAAGAGAGUC